GGAAAGCCGCUAUCGUGUAGCAAGGGCCCGUACCGUAAACCGACACAGGUGGAUGAGGAGAGGAUCCUAAGGCCGGCGGGAGAAGUGUUGUUAAGGAACUCGGCAAAAUGACUCCGUAACUUCGGGAGAAGGAGUGCUGCGCAAGCAGCCGCAGAGAAAUGGCCCAAGCAACUGUUUAGCAAAAACACAGGUCUAUGCGAAACCGAAAGGUGAGGUAUAUGGGCUGACGCCUGCCCGGUGCUGGAAGGUUAAGGGGAGAGCUUAGCGCGAGCGAAGGUUUGAACUUAAGCCCCAGUAAACGGCGGCCGUAACAAUAACGGUCCUAAGGUAGCGAAAUUCCUUGUCGGGUAAGUUCCGACCCGCACGAAAGGCGUAAUGAUUUGGGCACUGUCUCAACAACACACCCGGUGAAAUUGAAAUACCAGUGAAGAUGCUGGUUACCCGCGCCAGGACGGAAAGACCCCAUGGAGCUUUACUCCAGCCUGAUACUGGGAUUCGGUAUUGCAUGUACAGGAUAGGUGGGAGGCUAAGAACUCAUGGCGCCAGCCGUGAGGGAGCCGAUGUUGGGAUACCACCCCUGCAGUACUGGGUUUCUAACCUGCGCCCGUGACCCGGGCGGGGGACAAUGUCAGGCGGGGAGUUUGACUGGGGCGGUCGCCUCCGAAAGGGUAUCGGAGGCGCUCGAAGGUCUCCUCAGGAUGGUUGGAAACCAUCCAGAGAGUGCAAAGGCAGAAGGAGGCUUGACUGCGACACCGACGGGUGGAGCAGGUACGAAAGUAGGACUUAGUGAUCCGGUGGCAUAAAGUGGGAUUGCCAUCGCUCAACGGAUAAAAGCUACCCUGGGAUAACAGGCUUAUCACUCCCAAGAGUUCACAUCGACGGAGUGGUUUGGCACCUCGACGUCGGCUCAUCGCAUCCUGGGGCUGGAGCAGGUUCCAAGGGUUGGGCUGUUCGCCCAUUAAAGCGGUACGCGAGCUGGGUUCAGAACGUCGUGAGACAGUUCGGUCCCUAUCCGGCGCGGGCGCAGGAUAUCUGAGAGGAGCUGUCCUUAGUACGAGAGGACCGGGAUGGACCGUCCGCUGGUGGACCGGUUGUCAUGCCAAUGGCACGGCCGGGUAGCCAAGACGGGAAGGGAUAAACGCUGAAGGCAUCUAAGCGUGAAGCCCCCCUCAAGAUGAGAUAUCCAUACUCGAAAGAGUGAGAGACCCCUUAGAGACGAUGAGGUAGAUAGGGCAGAGAUGGAAGCACAGCGAUGUGUGGAGUUGACUGUUACUAAUCGGUCGAAAGCUUG
rnacentral:rRNA from 1 species